rnacentral:lncRNA from 12 species
UGCUCAGAGCGGGAGUCACUUUCCCAAGGCACGGAGGCGCCUCCGUGCCGUUCAGCCCAGGCUCUGCAGGGCCCACGUCUCACAGGAGCCGGAGUUCGUCCUCACCCCCCAGCGGAGCCUGACCCGCCGCCCCUGGCACCCGGCACCAAGCCCGGGCAGCAGACGGAGGGCCCGGUGAGCUCUCCUCACCCCUGGCCCACUCGCUCCUGCCUUCCUCACACCGAAGAGACAGGGCAGGUACCCCCUUUGUGCUCAUUUUCUCAGAAGCAGGGGUGGCGGAGAAGCCGCUGGUGCACGGGCAAGAGGGUGGUGGGGAGUGCGGUGCUGUCCAGGGUGGUUUUCCAGGCCUCCUUGUUCCUGUCCUCCCGGCCCUGUCCUCCCAGCCCCUCUCCUGUCAGCCCCAUCCUCCUGGGUCCUGUCCUCCUGGCCUCAUCGUCCUGGCCCCUGUCGUUGUGGAUCCGUCCUCCUGUACCUUUUCUCUUGGCCCCGUCCUCCUGGGUCCUGUCCUCCUGGCCCCGUGCUCCUGGCACCAUCCUCCCAGGUCCUGUCCUUCCGGCCCCUGUCCUCCCGGGUCCUGUCCUCCUGGCCCUGUCCUCCUGGCCCUUGUCCUCCAGGAUCUGUCCUCCUGGACCUGUUCUCUUGGCCCUGUCCUCCCGGGUCCUGUCGUCCUGGCCCUGUGCUCCCGGGUCCUGUCCUCCAGGCCCCUGUCCUCCCAGGUCCUGUCCUCCUGGACCCAUGCUCCUGGCCCCGUGCUCCCAGGUCCUGUCCUCCAGGCCCCUGUCCUCCCAGGUCCUGUCCUCCCGGACCCAUGCUCCUGGCCCCAUGCUCCUGGGUCUUGUCCUCCUGCCCCCGUCCUCUUGGCCUCAUCCUCCCGGCCCCGUCCUCUUGACCCCGUCCUCUCAGCCCUGUCCUCCCGGCUCCAUCCUCCUGGCCCCAUCCUCCCGGCCCCGUCCUCAUGGCCCCGUCCUCCCGGCCCUGUCCCCUUGGUCUCACCCUCUGCUCUAA